GGCUGUAGCUCAGCGGUAGAUGGCUUGCCUAGCACGUGCGAGGUGCUGGGUUCGAUCCUCAGCACCA
rnacentral:tRNA from 1 species